UGUUCCCUCUAAGCUGCGCGCGUGCGCAAUCGCGCACUGCCCGCACAUUCUCAGCGCACAAGAAAAUCUAUCCAGCGCAUAAACAACAUCAACAUAACGUAUUAAUUCAUAUCUAAUAUUAGACCUAAUCUAAUUAAUUCGCCCAAUAAUAUUGUUUUUUUGUUUCUCACUCAGUGAGUGACAGGUGUCCAGCCAAUGAUACGAUACGGUUCACUUACGGUACGAAGCCAAUCAUGGCAUUGACGGUGCUUGCGUCUGGGCCCUGCCUAUAUGCGCCGUGCAGGUUAGCUAGCAGGUUAAUAGAUGCUAAUACAAACCCCGCAUCAUGGCGAAACGAACAGGCAGCGACACAUCCACUCAGCAAGCCACAGUAAAAAAGAAAUGCAGUUCUUUUAAGAUGGAAUGGCUGUCGGAGUAUGUGCAAAUUGAAGAAAAAGCGGGUAAGAGCUAAAGGAGAUCUCACAGCUUGUGGAUAUUUGUGCUACAUUUCAAGCUUCCAGUGCCGACUGUGAAAGAGGAUUUAGUUUAAUGAAUCAUAUCAAAACAAAAUCCAGAAAUCGUCUUGAAGUGACACAUUUGGACCAGCUGAUGCGCAUAAAGUCAAAGCAAGAAGCAGACGAAGCCAUCAACCUGGACAAAGUGUACAACCAUUGGAGAAGUGAGAAGGACAGACGUGAAAAAUAAGAACAGGACCCUCAGCCAGGCAAAGCAGGACUCUUCCCAUGGCCAAAGCAGGACUCUCACAUACUGUAUAACAUCUACACAUCCCAUUUUUCAGAUUUUUGUCUUUUUUUAAGUGGACCAAAUUACUUAUUUAAAAAUAAAGCGUGCAUAUCUAAUGUUG